rnacentral:lncRNA from 1 species
GAUAAAGUCCCUAGUGAAGAGUCUGGUGAUGAAUCUCCAGAGUUAAUCCCUCCCCCUCAGAAGAAAAAGAAACUCACGAAGGUCUCUUCCCAAAGGUCCAUUGUUAACCCAAUCAGGAAGGAUUCUGCCAGUACUUCUCCUGCCAAGCCUCAGUCGAAAGAUAUGGGGAGUGGGAAAUCCGGUUUUAAUACUGAAAUUCCUGAGGUAAUUUUUUUUUUUUUUUUAUUUCGACAGCAUAUGUUUACCUUUCCUACAUCUUUUCUUCUAAAUCUUAGAAUUUAUUUUUAGGAACAAGUGGCUGUCGAAAAAACGCCUGAGAAAAUUCUGGAGGAAACAGCCCCAGAGGAAGAUGUCCCCACAAGUGACCAUGAUAUGCAAACCGUAGAAGAAUUCGACACUACAGUG